AACAGUAUAUUUCACAAUUCUCUGUAAGUAACCGGCUUCUCCGCUUCUCAUUUCGUGACCGCGUUCUCUCCUUCUCCCUCGUGCUCGUUUCUCUCUCUUUCUCUCGUGCGAUCUCUCUUUACCACUGCAUUCUCUCUGGUUCGAUCUCUCUCUCUCUCUCUGUAACCUAGUUAUCAUCUCUCGCGCUCGCUCUUUCUGCAACUCACUUCCUCUGCUUUCCAAUUCCAUCCAUCACCGGAAUAUUUCACCUGUAAAUCACAUUUUCUAUUGAAUUUGGUAGUACUGCAUUUGAUUGUGUCCACUAAAUUUAUGCAGUAACAUCAUCUUUUGACUAUAUUUGGUUGAUAACUUGUAGGAGGGUGCAGGAUUCUGACUUCUGAGGCAAGGGAAGAUUUUGGUUCGAAUUGGGAUGGGAAGAAUUCUCAGGCGACCAAACUACCUUCUUUUCCGCCACCUCUGUUGCCGCUAUUUUGGAAGACUCCGGUAGUGGCUUCGCAAAAUUAUUGAUACUGCAUUUUACUAUAUUUUAUUGUUUGUUUUAGUGAUGUUUACAUUUAUAUUUAAUUUAACAAAAUUUUGAAAUGGAAAUGUGUCAUGAAGAAACCCCUUUUAGCUAUGAAGCAUGGACACAAACAUAAUGGACACUGACAUGUCAACACCGAUAAUAAUUUGAGAAAAUAAUACAAUUCAAUGUAAUUAUGUGUUGGUCUGAGACACGCCUAAUUCUGAAGUGUUCGUGCUUCAUAGCCUAUUAGUAAUGUUUUAUCUAUGUUUGUUUUAGUGGUGUUUUCAUUUAUGUUUGAUUUGACAAAAUUAUGCCUUUCAAGUUCUUCAAUAUUCCAAAAAGAUGCUGAAAAUAAGAACAAUUAGUAUGCGAUACUGAAUAGGAACAUAAGUCAUUUUGCCUUUAUCAUGGGGGUGCAGAGUUUCUGCUCUUAUUUGUUGAUGUAUCAAUUAUCAUAGGCUGCUAGAGUCAAUUUCGUACCUUAUGCUUUAUGCACCAAUUCCAUUAGCAUUUAUUUAAUUUUUACACAUAAUAGUUGUUUGUUUCAUUUACACCUUUCUGAUAUUUUGAAAUCUCUAUUUCCAUGUGGAUUGAGCAUUUCUGUUGUGUGAAGGUAUAAAAUUAUACUAAAACGAGUUUGUUUCACUUUUAUGCUCACUCAGGUAAGACUCGCUUCUCAGCCUUGAACAGAAUCUUAACCAGCGUUCUGCUGAUNNNNNNNNNNNNNNNNNNNNNUCUGGUUAUGUGAUUCCACUACUUUUUUCUUGUUCGACCGGCCACAACAAUGCCAAACAAUGUUCAGGUUUUGCUUUUGCCUCAUUCUCGUUUGCUUUCACGAUCUACUUUUACAAUAAGCAAAUAAAAAAAUGCACAAUUCAGUGACACAAAAUGAAAAACAUAAAACCUCUGCUUGGUGUUGAUUCCCCUGUAUUGUGUGACUCUCGCACACACAGUAACCAACUCCUACUUUCAAACCUUGUUAGAAAUCCCUUAUAACCAACACGGGAAGUAGGCAAGCACACGCAGUACACCUGUAUAGGAGUUCUAUGAACUUUGUAAGUAUAAAGUGUGAUGAAUGGAAUACUGAUUGCAUUAAUUAAUUAGAUAAAGGUACACCAGGUGUAUACUCCCUCCUUUCGUCAAUAAUUAUAACACGUAUUUUUGUCUCUUAAUACAAGAAAACAAAUCUAUAGGUACAGUUAUGACUCUUUUUCGAAAUAUACCCUUAUUAUUACUAUUAAUUUGCCUUGGAACAUAAAUGAUUUUUACACUACCAACUUUUAUAAACAAGGACAUUUGGAGUAUAUAGUAAAAGAGGCUCCUAUUCAAUUAAGAAUGAAUUAGAAACUCCUAUGAACGAGGAAUGAUAGUUGUAGUUCCUUUAUGCAGGUAACGGCUAGUACAACCGACU
rnacentral:lncRNA from 1 species